rnacentral:lncRNA from 1 species
CGCUUGGCCGGGAUGGGCGCAGUGGGGCCGAAGUUAACGUAGUGGCCGGACACGGCGUUGAGGGCCGAGUACAUGUCCCUGAAGGAGGACCGCCCCAGGAGGGCCUUCUCCCGCCGGUACUUGGCCACCCAGGAGUUGGACGCCUCCCGCAGCUCCGCCACCGCCGACGCCACAUUCGGGUCGCCCCUCUCCAUGGUCAGCGUGGUGCGCACCUUGCCGAUCACCUCCGUCGUCUCCCGCACGUACUCAUCGUCCGUCGCCGCCGUGGACGCCGGUGGCGCCGCCACGGGGAGGAGCAGCAGAGGCAGCCCCCCGGCGAGAGACAGCACCAGCUCCCUCCUCCUGGUGCUGCCUCCGGGCGCAGCAGCAGCGGGGGCGAGGGGCAGCGCCGGCGCGCAGGGUGGGGCAAGGAGCGCCGUCGGCUUGGUGGUGGGCGUGAGCAGAGACGAGGAAGCCAUCGCCGUCGCCAUCUCUUCUCUCUCUUUCUCUCCUCCCGGCGGCAGUCUCGGUGCUGAACAGAGGGGGAGAGAGGAGGGAAGGGCGAGCGAGCCGGGAN